rnacentral:lncRNA from 1 species
GCCUCCUUCGCUGCGCCAGCUUGGUCCUCUGGGACGUGGUGCGUCAUGAAGAGGGAAGGCUGCUGAGCACUCGUCAGUGGAUUCGCGAAGGUCACCGUGUGUCGAGUGGUGUUCUCUUCCUCCACAGCCAGAAUUUCAGGCGCCGGCACAUCCUGAGGCACCUUACUGGCGGACGCUUUCCGACUCGUCCUGUGCUUCAGCGGCUCUUCAUCCUCAUCAUCAUCAGGAAGAUCGAUAACAGUGUUGGGUGGAGCUGCGGAGAAGGAUCAGGAUCAGAGAUCGCGAGUCAGUCGACUAAGAAUGGUAUUAAGAACACAGUACCUGGAUUCGAAGUUGCUGCAUCCUCCAUCUCGUGGUCAUCGGCCCGGGCCGAGGUCUCAGAAGUAGCAGCACUGCAACUCCAAAGGAUCAGUCGACUAACCUCAGCGUCGACCAGAGAUAAAGUUCGCACAGAAUAAGAAAAUAUGAGCAACACAAUUACCCUGAUAUGGUGGGGAUGGACACCUUCAUCUUCGGCAGGAGCUUGGUCGGCUUCGAUGAGGCCGCCCUGGGCUGCUUCGGCGCCUUUUCAGUCGGCGCCGGAGAGGUGGUCCGAGGGCGCUUGGUCGACUGAGUGGCGGUCACAACCCCCUUACCACGUUCGGUCGAAGGGUCGUGGACAAGCUUCGACCGCCUUUCUGAGCGCGGUGGAACGACCUCCUCCUCCUCUUCUUCCUCGUCCUCGAUGUCAUCUUCAUCACCUUCAUCAUCAUCAUCGUCGUCAUCAUCCCCUGCAGCAUCCGAGUCCCAUUCCUCCUCUUCCUGGCUCUCGCCCCCGCUCGCCUCGCCCCCGCUCGCCUCGCCUUCCUCAGUCGAAGCUUGUGCCCCAUUGGGCAUCGAGUACAGCUCGGUGAAGGCCUAGCAGAUGCCCAAACAAGGAUCAGUCGACCAGUCGGCAGGGUUAGCAGAAAUGAAUACGACAAGGACACAAUGGAAAGCAGAGCAAGUGUACCUUGUUUGGGUCGCUGUUGUGGUCGAGUGGAGGAAUCCUUCUGGCUCCGCGCAGGUUGUCCCUGUUUCCGGUAACGGCUACCAUCCAUCUUUCCAGAGUGGCAUCGUCGACUUCUUCUGGAUGGACUCUAGUCUCGUCUUCGGGCCCACAGUACAACCACAUGCAGUGGCUCCGGAAUUGAAGGGGUUGGAUGCGACGCCUGAGGAAGACCUCCAGAAGAUCCAUGCCCGUCACCCCCUCCCGAACCAACUGCACCACGCGCUCCAUCAACAUCUUUACGUCGGCUUUCUCCUCCGGAAUCAGCUUCAGAGGGGAGGGCUUGUUCACUCGGUCCAUGGUAAACGGAGGGAGUCCGCUCGACUGCCCUGGCGUCGACUGGACCUGACAGUAGAACCAAGUCGACUGCCAUCCUCUGACGGACUCGGGAAAGGACAUGGGCGGGAAGGUGCUAUUAUUCCUCACCUGAAUCCCCAGGCCCCCACACAUUUGGACGACUCGGGUCUUCUCAUCACCUGGGCUCGCCUUCUUCACGGUCUGAGAGCGACACGUGAAGAUACGUUUGAACAAACCCCAGUGCGGUCGACAGCCCAAGAAACCCUCACACAUGGACGCGAAUGCAGCAAGAUAGGCAAUGGAGUUUGGGGUAAAGUGGUGGAGCUGCGCUCCAAAGAAAUUCAAGAAGCCACGGAAGAAAAUGCUUGGCGGCAAGGAAAAUCCACGAUCAACAUGAGUGGCCAGAAGCACACACUCACCCUCUUCUGGCUGUGGCUGCCACUCCUUCCCCGGCAACCUCGCAGCUCCGUGAGGGAUCAAGCCCUCGUUGGCCAUGUCGAGGAGGUCCUUCUCCGUGAUGGUCGACUGGAUCCAGUCUCCUUGGACCCAGCCUUUUGGCAGGCGGGAUCUGGACGAGGACCCUCUGCGGCUGGUGGAUCUCCCCUUCGCCUUCUCCGAUGCCGACGCCUUCUUGGCACGCUCCAGCGCCACCGUCUUCUCCUUGGCCAUGGUCGCCGGUGAGAUGCACGAAGGGAAGUGGUGCGGGGGCGAGAGCAAGCACGAUGAGCAGGGAGGAAGGAAGCAGAGGGAGAGAGGGAGAAUGCUGAGGCGCAGCACAGAAAUCCUCGCCGGGCACAUUUAUAAGGUCCCUUCCGAGUGGCUGACAUGUGGGCCCGGUCGAUCUAAUCAUAUCUGGGAGCAGUUAUGAGGACUGGAUACGUGGCGAAAAAGGCGGCGCGGAGAUCGAGGCGUCUAUGCCCCGUCCCAUCCGAACGCCGCGGUCUGCCCCGCUUCGCGCGCGCCCCCAAAUUUCGCACCCCGCGGAAUCCGCGAGCAACAAAUCAGUCUGUCAGACGCGGUGUUUCCGGCGAUCCGUCGCUCGGAGAUCGUCGAAGCUCGAAAGAUCACUCGACGCAAAAAUAGAAUGGAUCGAGUCGACCGAAGACAAAUUGCUCCCUGUCAACGAAGAGAUUCUUUGAUCCAGAACAGCGCACAACUAGAGCGCAAAGGUUAAUCGGAAACGACAUCAACUCCUUCUUCACUCGAAGCCUCAAUCCAUUCGGGGGCUAAUGAUGGGGUUAUGUACCUAGGGUAGGGUCAUGGACCUGAUCCAAGUAACUUACCCUAGGACAUCCCUAGAAGAGGUCGCCUUCCAGUCGACCAACGAGGAUUCACUCGACUGGCCUGAAGGACUCGACCACGAAGACUCACUCGACCACCAGGAGGUCAAGAGGCACUCUGCACCGCAACGGCCUGUAAUUAAGUAGACUUUAUGAUAGUAAAGGCACUUUAUGUGGGGCGUUACCAGUAACGCCCCAGACUUAACUCACCUUAAACCCUCUCCUACGUGGGCUGGCUGGGGUCCUGGCGCACUCUAUAUAAGCCACCCCCCUCCACAGGCAGAAGGGUUCGGCACCUUGUAAUCCAUACAUUCAUAAUCCACUCGACCGCCUCCGGGCUCCGAGACGUAGGGCUGUUACUUCUUCCGAGAAGGGCCUGAACUCGUACAUCCUUUGUGCUUACAACCUCUCCAUAGCUAGGACCUUGCCUCUCCAUACCUACCCCCCACUCUACUGUCAGGCUUAGAACCACGACAGUCAUAGUUGGGAAGCGGAUUAGGAGCACUCGGGUGCUCCACCCCCCCUAUAUUUAAAAAUAAUUUAAUAAUUAAAAAAAAGCCAAAAAAAAUCUUGGAUAUAUUUUUGAACCAAAUAUGACUAGGUAUUGUACUCAUAUAAAAUGUUUGGCCAAGGAAUAAUUCCCGUUGACUUCAGGGCAAAAAAACCAAAUUUAUGACGACAAUAUAGCAUGAAUAGUACUUGUAUCUAGCAUUUUUUGGGAAAUCUUUGACCACGGAUACAAUAUAAGUCAUUUCCUAUUUAAAUAUUUUUAUACGAGUGCAAUACCUGGUCAUGUUUGAUACCAUAAAAAGUUCCGAGAUUUUUUGACUUUUUUUGAAUUACUAAAUUAUUUUUGAAUAUAGGGGGGCGUAGCACCCGAGAGCUCCUAUGCGUUUUCGUCAUAGUUGUGACUAUUUACACCUGUAACUGCUAUAGUUAUGGGCAUUAAUCACCCUGGUGACUUGGGAAUGAAGGAGGCUGCGACGCACUGUACAUAAGCCGUCCUCCUCCUCUAGAGCAAGGGUUAAGCACUCUGUAAUCGUACCCCCCCUCCCCCCAAGAAAACAAGCCUCACGGCAUGAGACGUAGGACUGUUACCUCCUCUGAGAGGGGUCUGGACUCGUAAACGACCGAGUGUUACACAUGUGUCGUACUUAGGCCCUGCCCCUAUUUCAUACCCCUAGUACUCAUUGUCAGGAUCGUAACCCCGACAUCUCCCACUUGUUUCCCAUUACUUGGUGGUUAUUCAUUGGCAGAGUGGCUCUUUUAUUCUCCCCUACAGCUUCUUCCUCUUCCUCAUCCAAUCCAAUGGGCCGGUUCAAGUUUGAGCCAUCAUUUGUCUUCAACUUCUUUGGCCUUUCUUGAGGUUUUCCACAACUUGUAUCCACUCUGGUUGGCCAUUCAAUUUAAUCCAAGAAUGGCUAAAACCGAAUGGCUUCUUCUUGGUUGCUGGUACAAAGUGGCCGCCAACACCACCUAUCAAAAAACAAAGUUAUCAUGAUAAUCGGACGUAAAAAAUAUUAGUGCAAAUUACGACAAAGCAAAUCAGUUCAACUUAGAUGAUUUUGGACUCCAAUCCAACUUUGAUUCCGGCCAUGCGGAAGCACAGUGGCCAACAAACUUGUUGAUGCGCUCUCGGAUGGUGGACCAUCUGUGUAGGAGAGAGACCAGAUUAUGGGUUAUAUUGUUCGGAUUCGGCUCCACAUAUUCCUUGUGUUCAUGAUACUGCUUCUAAAUCUUCUCCCAAUACUUGCUGGUCUUCUCCUUUGUGCCACAUAUAGGGUCCAAUCUUGUGGCCAACCAAUAUUAAACCAACAAAACAUCCUCCACUACUAGGAAAACGGCUAUAGAUGAAAUGGACACUAAUGACGAACCACGUGUGUGGUGCGCCAUUAGAAUAUAGCAAUGGCGCAUCACAUAUAGGUACACCAUUAGUAAUAUAGUAAUAUAUUACUAAUGGCACACCUGGUGUGCGGUGCCCCAUUAGAAGUUUUGAAAAAAAAAUUGUUACUAAUGGCGCACCGUGGGUGUGGUGCGCCAUUAAUAGUUGACACAGUAAUGGCGCACCACACCCACGGUGCGCCACUAGAAGUUCGGAAAAAAAGGGCAACCUGGUGCAUGUAGCUCCCACUUGCGCAGGGUCCAGGGAAGGGUCCGACCACUUUGGGUCUAUAGUACGCAGCCUUUCCNNNNNNNNNNNNNNNNNNNNNNNNNNNNNNNNNNNNNNNNNNNNNNNNNNNNNNNNNNNNNNNNNNNNNNNNNNNNNNNNNNNNNNNNNNNNNNNNNNNNNNNNNNNNNNNNNNNNNNNNNNNNNNNNNNNNNNNNNNNNNNNNNNNNNNNNNNNNNNNNNNNNNNNNNNNNNNNNNNNNNNNNNNNNNNNNNNNNNNNNNNNNNNNNNNNNNNNNNNNNNNNNNNNNNNNNNNNNNNNNNNNNNNNNNNNNNNNNNNNNNNNNNNNNNNNNNNNNNNNNNNNNNNNNNNNNNNNNNNNNNNNNNNNNNNNNNNNNNNNNNNNNNNNNNNNNNNNNNNNNNNNNNNNNNNNNNNNNNNNNNNNNNNNNNNNNNNNNNNNNNNNNNNNNNNNNNNNNNNNNNNNNNNNNNNNNNNNNNNNNNNNNNNNNNNNNNNNNNNNNNNNNNNNNNNNNNNNNNNNNNNNNNNNNNNNNNNNNNNNNNNNNNNNNNNNNNNNNNNNNNNNNNNNNNNNNNNNNNNNNNNNNNNNNNNNNNNNNNNNNNNNNNNNNNNNNNNNNNNNNNNNAAAAAUAAAAGAAAAUAAGUUUGCCAUGUGAUAUGUGGUCUAGUUGUUGGGAAAAUUUACAAAUAUAAAUUUUGACUUUAUUUGCAAAAUCUCUCUGAAAAUUUGUAAAAUGGGCAUAACUUUUGUAUACGAACUCGGAUUAAAAAGUUUUAUAUAUGAAAAAUCAUCUACUCGAAAAGUUACAUCCGAAUUUAACUGGGGGAACCCCGUUAAACAUUUUCAAAAUCCCCAAAAACCUAACACAAAAAAAAGGUUUUGAUUUUUUUAAAAAAAUUUCUUUUCAAAAAAUGAUACGUAAUAUGACCGGGAAGUUUGAAAUAUUUUUCAAAAUUUCAUCAUAGUCAUGAACAUGAACAAAGUCCUAGAUAUCAACAAGGUAUAAUAGGAUUGAUAUGCUAGAUAUAUCAACAAGUGCCUGUGAAGUGAGCUGUUGCUAGGGUUGGAUAGAACUCUGAAGUUAAGCGUGCUUGGGCUAGAAAAAAAAUUGUUGAUGUCAUUAGAAAAAAAAUUCUAAUGGCGUGGUGCUAGUGGCGCACCAGUAGUGCGCCAUUAGUAGCAAAAAUAGGUGCGCCACUAGCAGCCCUUUUUCUAAUAGUGCUCAAUUGUUGUGAAUAUCAGGCCUCUUGCAUUGGGUAUCUUUGCCCUUUUCUUCUUAGUGCGCAUGUCCCCCAACAUAAAAAGUAAGAUAAUUUGGAACCCCCAAGCCAUAUUGCGUAGGGUCCGUAGGCUCUUGCCCCUCAUCGAUCAUGUUCGACAUGAAAUUUUCCUAAAAUGAUCAUGACUCAAAAUAAACUAACGUAAUAUGCAACUAAUUGAUUUAGUGGCAUAUGCAACUAACUAAUCCAGAACAUCAUAGUCAAUAUAGUGAACGAAGCGAUAAAAAUGGAGCAAAAUUUGUACCAUCUCCUGAUGUGUCAUUCUGUCGAAUAGGAAUGGGCAGACAAGGCAUGUUGUCUCCAUGGACAGAUAUUUCCAUGAUCUCGGUUGAGAUCGAAGUUUAUGUUGAUUCCCAUUGUAUUGCAAGGACUGCUUAGCUGGGACUGUAUGAUCCACAAAUGACGGAGUCACAUCCGACAGAUCUCGGGUAAUGGGUCCCGAGCUAAGUGUGGCCCACCAGCGAUGGAGUCAGAUCCAACAGAUCUCCGGUAGGGGGUCCUAAGCUAAAUGUCUCGACACGAUGGAAAUAUGGGCAUAUGUUUUUACCCAUGUUCGGGCUCUCCUUACAGAUAAACCCCUACGUCUUGCUUGUGUUUGUACUGCUUUGGGAUGAAGUACACGGUAUAGGUGGUCCACCUCGAGGUUGUUGUGUGUUUCUAGAUUUGAUAAUCUAAAUUCUGUUCAACUCUCUAGCCCGGCCUCGACUUAUAUAAGAAAACCGAAGGCCUAGGUUUACAGAGUCCUGGUUAGCUACGUCAGUGGAGAAGAAUCCUCCACGAGUAAGGAGUACUUGACUUGAACGACAAGACUUCUUGAUUUUCCUCGGAGAUCGCCAUGGGCCGCCCAAAAUGGCCCAGGAUGGAACCGACAAGGGGGUCCUUAGCCCGACCCACCUUGGCUGGGAGUCGACAUGGUGAGAGUGAAAGCUCCAAGGUUGCAACAAGUGACGCACAUACAGUGCGCCACUUAUCACAACCUGAGGAGGUGAGAGUGACCUUUGCAAAGAGUGAUCCUUAAUUAGUGAUUUUGGAUUGCCAAACCCUUCUACCGUUGAGAGGUCCUAGUAUGUGCAUUCAGCGCCAUGAACUAUCUUGGGGCUCACCGCUGCUCCUUUCGCAUGUUCGCCCUUGUCAUAUGUCGUUCAAUCCAUUUUUUUAUCCGCUCUCUUACAGUCCAUGAACUUAAAAAAAAUAUGAAAAUAAAAAAGAAUUACGAACUAGAAAAAAAAUUAUGAAUUUGAAAAAGUUCAACGGGUAGACUUUUGACAAGCUGACCAUUAACCAUUGACCUUUGACCAUAUAUGUUGUUCGUAGAUUUUUUUUGGAAAAAAAUCAUAUAUUUGAGAAAAAGAUCACAAAAUUUGACAAAAGUUUGCAAGUUUGAAACAAAGUUUGUAAAUUUGAAACAAGUUCGUGAUUCCAGUUGGAAAAAGUUCAUAGAUUUGAAUAAUGUUCAUGAAUUUAAGAGAAAUUUCACCUAUUUGAAUAGAAAUUUCAUUAAUUUGAAAAAAGUUCUCAAUUUCGAAUUUGAAAAGACCUCAUGGAUUCAAAAAAAUGUUCACAAAGUUGUAAGAGAAUCACUAAUUUGAAAAAAGUUCAUGGAUUCAAGGAAAGUUCAUGAAUUUGAAAACAAUUCACAAUUUGGGAAAUUUUAUGAAUUUAGUAUUUUUCGAUUUUUUUUAAGUUCAUGCAUCUGAAAAAAAAUGAUCAAUUUAAAAUGAAAACGGAAAAAGUGUAAAAGCUGGUCCAGAAAAAUAAGGUCCGAAGCUUCCAAAAACCGGGACGAGCGCCUCCCACGAAAGUGCAUUACGUGGGCCGGCAAAACUACCCUAGCAAAGAAUGACCUGAACCUAAGCGAUGUCUCAAAUCUCGAUGCCACGAGCAAUCAAGGCGAUGCCUUCAGAAGGAAAACAACGCCGUGACACACAAGCUUUGCAUAUUCAUGAGAGAAGACCAAAAUAACAGUACGUGCCUCAUUGCUUAUUUUGUUUCCUCAUAUAACAGUACGUGCAGUUCAACCCAGGUGUAUAUGUGUAUCCCGCCACUUCUAUCGUUAGGAAAGACUAUAAAUACAUCCAUUCAUCUACGUAUCUCUCACGCUCUUUACUUUUGGCUUGCAAUAAUAAUACGACCAAAGAGACUAGCGCACCACAAUACUACAUAUACCCAUGCUGAUAAUCAUACACCCGUCAAUUCUAGCUGUGUCCAGGUCGAAGUAACAGACGGGAACAUCACGGUGGUGAUGCAAGAGACUAGCGCGUUUGGACGCUUCGCAUCACCUACCUUUGGAUGCCUCGCAUGAAUCAAGUCGUGUCGUCCGCUAGCUUCCGCCUACCACCCACGGAGCAGAGCCAGCGAGCAACUAACACCGGCCAACUACCCACUGGAGUUGAAUGCAGGACGUCCAAGGUGUGCCCGUCAACCAUUCUGCUGACCGUAGUCAUGGCGAGCUGGUGCAAUUCAGUGCAUGCUCUAGGUCUAGGGUAGAGUGUUCAACGGAUUGUUACAGCGGCCGUGGGCGAUUCAUUAGACGGCUCCCCGCAGGUGGACGUCGUCGCAUUUCACUUUAUCUUUCUUUAAUCGCUUACCUGCUCCGUCGGCGGCGAUGGCCGCGUACGCUCCCUACGUGUCGCCGCAUGGCAUGCACAUGGACCGAUGGCCGGCUCGGGCCACGGCAGUGCGUGGCCAGCUAUAAAUACCCCAGCCGGGAGCUCCUAGAUCCAUCUCCACACAACUACCAGUACACUCCACUCCCAUCACACACACGGACACACCUGCAAGAGCGAGAGCGUGAGCCAUGGCGGGCAUGGGGAAGCAGCCGGUGGUGGCGGCGCUGAUGCUGGCGCUGGUGGUGCUGGCGGCGGCGCCGGGCGGGGCGCACGCGGCGUGCCAGGCAUCGCAGCUGGCGGUGUGCGCGUCGGCGAUCCUGAGCGGGGCCAAGCCGAGCGGUGAGUGCUGCGGCAACCUGAGGGCGCAGCAGGGGUGCUUCUGCCAGUACGCCAAGGACCCCACCUACGGGCAGUACAUCCGCAGCCCCCACGCGCGCGACACCCUCCAGUCCUGCGGCCUCGCCGUCCCCCACUGCUAGGCGCCGGCAGGCCCCUGGCGCAUAUGGCAAGCUAGCUGCCUCAGUGACCAUGAGAGCGUCAGACUAUAGCUAGCCCUAGCUGAGUGCGUGUUGCGUCCAUGAACGCAUCUUCCUGUCAACCAUGUGGUUCGACUUUGAUGAUGCUGGAAUAAAAAUAUAAAAUGUUGGGUGAUGAUCUACGGCGGCCAUGUUGCUUCUUGGCUGCUGCUGCUGGUAAUAAAAUUUGUGUUGCAACUUUGAUGAGAUCGGCUGAGUUGUGUUCAAUGACCAAACCAAACUGCCCCUAUCUUAGAAUUGUUAAAUCCAGUGGUGCGGUAUGUAGCGGCGAAGAAUCAAUCGUUAGUGCUUUUGGUGCAGUGACUUUAGGUAUAAGCGGUAUGAAUGGAAUACAUGGAAAUGCUUGUGGGCCCUCUGCAUNNNNNNNNNNNNNNNNNNNNNNNNNNNNNNNNNNNNNNNNNNNNNNNNNNNNNNNNNNNNNNNNNNNNNNNNNNNNNNNNNNNNNNNNNNNNNNNNNNNNNNNNNNNNNNNNNNNNNNNNNNNNNNNNNNNNNNNNNNNNNNNNNNNNNNNNNNNNNNNNNNNNNNNNNNNNNNNNNNNNNNNNNNNNNNNNNNNNNNNNNNNNNNNNNNNNNNNNNNNNNNNNNNNNNNNNNNNNNNNNNNNNNNNNNNNNNNNNNNNNNNNNNNNNNNNNNNNNAACCGCGAUAAAAUUUCUGCUCUUUUUUUUAGGGAAUUUCUACUCUGUUGCUAUAUGCUUUGUAAACAAUCGAAAUAUGCCUUCAAGGGCUCAAAAGAAUGUUUUUGGCUUUCUUAGUAACAUUUUAAUUCAUAGCGAGAGGAUCUUCGAAACAAGACCAAUCAUGGAUAAAACAUUGAACCAGUUUUUAUUUUAUUGUUGCUAUCCUAUUUCAAGUCAGUUUCUGUAAUUUACUCUUUCAAUCAUAUUUGAAAUCAUUUUCAUAUAAUAAGAAAACACAUCAUAGAUUAAAAACUAUUAGUUUCACACACUGAUUUUUUUUGAGGAAAUAUAAAUAGGUUUCCAACAUAAAAAAUCAUAUAUUAAAAGUAUAAGUUUACAUACUGAAAUGAGAAACUUCAGAAAAUAUAAACCAAUUUCACAAAUAAAAAUUAUGUUUCAUAUAUUGAAAAUAUCAACUUCACGCACUCUAAUGAGCAGUUAAAAAAUGUAAAUCAGUUUCACUCAUUGUAAAAUUAGGUUUCACAUUUUUAAAUAACCAGUUGUACUUCAAGAAAAUUCACAGUAACAUAGCUGACAAAAAGAUGUUCCAUGCAUUAUAAAUAUGAAUAUCUCACACUAUAGUAAGCAGCUUCCCAAAUUCUCGCCAAAAGACGAGUUUUGCGUUUUUUAAAGAAAAGGUAUAUAAGAUUUGUAGAAAAAUAGUUUCACAUAAUAAAAGAAACCGUUUAAAGCAUUGAAACAGAAAAUCCGUUUACUGGAUUCAAAAUCUUAGUUUCACACACUGAAAAGAAGUAGCUUAAAGAAAUUGUAAAUCAGUUUCACUCACCGACAAAAAGCACUUUCAUAUACAUGGUGGUAGCUACGCACGCAUGGUGGCAACUACACACCCUUUGUCAUAAGUGCCGUUUUUAUAUAUGAGGGAGUAGUAAGAAAAGUUAUAUAUGAGGUGUCGGGUUUCUUAUGGCAUUGCCACAAGUGCAUUUUUUGUUGUAUAGAAAUGACCUUUUCUCACUUAUCGUUGUUUAUAAAGGGACUUUUCUCAGUUCUCUUUGUCUUUUUGCUUGCCAUUUUGGUAUAAUUGCUUGUUUGCUUGCUUGGAUGGUACAACGUCACGAUAUUUUUGUUAUAGAGUUAUUUUUGGUAGUCCAAAAUAAUUUACCAAAAUAAUUAAAGAUAAAAAUCAGGGAUGUGCGUAGCUACCACCAUGGAUAGCAAAUUAUUUCUGAUUUUUGAAAUAACUUGUUUCACACAUUUGACAAUACAACACUUCCACAAACUUUCACACUUUGAAACAAAUUGUUUCAUAUAUAUGAGAACUAAUGGUUCACAUAAUUUAAAUAAUAAAUUUUACAAUUUUAAUUAUUGUGAAAUUAAUUUAUAUUUUGCUUGAUUUCACAUAUUUUGGUAUCCCAACUAAUUUUCUUCAGUAUUAAUUGAAAUGUUUAAAGCCAGAUCAUAGGUCUUGUUUUAGAUCUUCCGCAUAUUUCAUUUAUUUAGAUAAAGUGAUUUCAAAUAUCAUUAAUCACACAUAUAUCAAAAAAGUGAUUUGUACAAGUUUUUGUAUUUAAAAAACAUGAUUUCAUUUGAUUUAACCAAUUUUAGAAAAAAACAUGUUUCAAAUAAUAUAAAUGUGAUUGAAACAAUGAAAUUUAAAGAUGAUUGAAAUGUAUCCUUGAUUGGUUUUGUUCUAAUGAUCAUAUUGUCAGGAAUUCAAAUAUAUAUAAUUAUUUAAACUAUAAUUUUGGAUUAGAAGAUAUGAAUUAUCCAUAUUAUCAAAAACUGAAAAGAAAUGAAUUGUAUUUUUGUAUAACUCUACCACACAACUCUCUAUGCCCAAAUUGGCUAAACCAUUAUCCUUUAUUUCUGCUUUCUAAACAUUAACUUUUUUUGUUUUUAUUUCUGUUUGUUUUUCCUUUAUCUUUAUCUUUUUAGUUUAUGCUUUUCCACUUUUUUCCAUUUUAAGCUUCCUGAACUUUUUUGUUCAAUUUUCAAAAAAAAAAUCAAAGUCAUAAAUAAUUUUUAAAUUCAUAUAUUUUGUCAAUUUCGUAAACCUUUUUCACAUUCACCAUUUUUUCGUCCAAUUUUCAAAUCCUUGGCAGCACCGAGCGGGCAGCCAACAUGGACGAACUACUUGGCUGACCUACCGACUGGAUUUGAAUGCACUAGGUACGUCCAUACUACAUAAGUGUAGCCAUGCAUGCAUCAACCUCUUUGCUGACCCUAGUCAUGGCGAACUACGUACUGCAGUUCAGUAACUAGCCGGCUCGCGACAGGUGGAUUCUUAAUUAGCUAGCUAGGUUGCCAGCACUCCAAAUACUUGGCGAAGUAUCGGACGGUGCGUGGCCGUCUAUAAAUACACCGGGAGUCCAAACCACCAUUGUAGCAGUCCAUCACACUCAACACCUGCCACUGCGAGAGUGAGCGAGGAGCAGACCAACGUACGACGACGGCCAUGGCGAUGAGGAAGGAGGUCCUGCUGGUGGCCAUGAUGCUGGCGCUGGUUGUGGCGGCGCCAGGCGGGGCGCUCGCGGCGUGCGAGGUGGGGCAGCUGACGGUGUGCAUGCCCGCGAUCACCACCGGCGCGAAGCCGAGCGACGCGUGCUGUGGCAACCUGCGCGCGCAGCAGGCGUGCUUCUGCCAGUACGCCAAGGACCCCUCCCUCGCUCGCUACAUCACUAGCGCGUAGGGCUCAGCUAUAGGUAGGCUACCUCCCUCCAUGAGAGAUGAUAAGAGACUAUAGCUUAGCCUAGCUGAGACCUGAGAGAGUGCAUGCUGCGUCCAUGCACUCACGCAUGAUUCUGGAAUAAAAUGUUGGGUGAUGAUCGGUGCUGGAAUAAAAUGAGUUUUCCUACCUUCUCCUCUGUUUCCCCUCUCUGUCACUUGCUGCAAUCUUUUCAACGAAAACCACGUACAGGAAUUGGCAACCGUCCAAAAUACGCCCGAAAUUACGAUGAGUCACUCACAAAUAAGCCGCAUUGCAGCAGAAAACAUGAGAUGCUCUACAAAAUAGUGAUUGCUUUGCUGUACUGUUGGUUCCAUCGGGAUUGAGCACAAGAAGGCACAUCUUUGAUUCCUUGUACGAUGUGUGGCUUUGAACACUGUGGCACCUGCUCAUUAACUCGUGUGCAUUGAAUUCAUUUAUCAACCUUUAGUUUGGUGGUAUACAUCCCAAGUUCAGUUCCAUAAAAUCAAGCCUGCACUUUUUUUUGGAAGGGCAAAAGAUUUGACACAUUCAUUAAUUAAGAAUGAGCUUAAGAAAGUUGCUAACCCGGAGGCGAAACAAAUGCCUACUCUCCCAACAUAAUAUCACUCAAGUGUUGAGCCCCGGCUAACACCCACUUGCACGUUUCAUCUCGGAUCUUGUCAAUGACUCUCAAGAUGUUGUUGAAGACUCUCGAGUUGCACUCAUUCCAAAUUACCCAUGGACGUUACUCUAUGGCCUCUGCUAAUCAUGCACAAUUAAUGGGGGCAUGGUCACUUUGUUUUAGUCUACCAUUUAUAAAAUUUGGGCUCUUGACAGUUUUUGGGCAUGGUACUAUUCACAUCUCGACUUGUCUUUUUUGUUUCUCUUUGUAUAUUUCGGAUUUUGAUCUGAAUUUUUAGGGGUUGUAGACACAUGUGUUCUGAACAUUCACAAAAAAAUUACACAUCUAAAAUUGUAAUUUUCAAGCUGGUAUCAUGGGAGCACUUACAAUACUGGAAAAACUGUAUACGCUGACUUAUUUCAGCUAAGCCGAGAGCCAAAGCGCUGGCUCUCGGCAAAUUUGAUGAAUAUACCUUACUUAUAGUAUCUUUCCGGCAUUGGUGGAACAUAAUUCAGAUCCGUAACACACUGAAACUAGUUGAAGUCAUCCUUGUCAUGAAGGAGAAUGUAGUUAUGCAGCGUCAUAAUUGCCGCAACAAUCAUUUUUUGUGUUUCAAUCAAUCUUGAGUAGUAUUUUGCAUUUCAUUUUCAAAACAACAAAGGCCCUCUCUAUGCAAUUGCAUCCGCUUGGAGGAGCGGGUCUUUUCUAAUUUCUCCAUAGGAUUAGUAGGGGUGCACCUCUCCGCAUGGUGGUUUUCCUCAAAGUCACAUCCCCAUUCGGUAUCCCGCAACUUGAGUUUCGGGAAUAUGUUGUGAUCACCUUUUAGCUUGUCCCAUUUGAUUUUAAAUCAGACAUAUUUGUAUUCGAGCCUGAUUCACAUCUUGAAUUUCCUUCACACCUCCUCAAAUGCAUUUGGCAUCAAAUAAUUGUUUGGCCUAUUUGCAGCCUUCACUUGCUCCACAAACAACUCAGUGAGAACCCUAGUAUUUUCAUAGGUCCAUUCUGUGGCCAUGCUCAACAAUUGUCUGGGAAAAUCCAUGUCACUUUGGUGCUCACAUGUACUAGGAAAAUACACAUCGAUUGGAGCGUAGGUGCUUCUGUACAUAGCCAAACUCAUGUAAUAUAAAUUGAUGAUGCCCGGCCCAUUGUUGGGGGAAGUGCUACGUCUUGAGCUUGCGUUGGUUUUCCCCGAAGAGGAAGGGAUGAUGCAGCAGAGUAGCGUAAGUAUUUCCCUCAGUUUUUGAGAACCGAGGUAUCAAUCCAGUAGGAGGACACGCUCAAGUCCCUUGUACCUGCACAAAACGAUAGCUACUCGCAACCAACGCGAUUAGGGGUUGUCAAUCCCUUCACGGUCACUUACGAGAGUGAUAUCUGAUAGAUAUAAUAUUUUUGGUAUUUUUGGUAAAAAGAUGCAAAGUAAAAAAUAAAAGCAAAGUAAACAAGCAAAGCAAGAUUAAAGUGAUGGAGAUUGAUAUGAUGAGAAUAGACCCGGGGACCAUAGGUUUCACUAGUGGCUUCUCUCAAGAGCAUAAGUAUUCUACGGUGGGUGAACAAAUUAUUGUUGAGCAAUUGACAGAAUUGAGCAUAGUUAUGAGAAUAUCUAGGCAUGAUCAUGUAUAUAGGCAUCACGUCCGUGACAAGUAGACCGAAACGAUUCUGCAUCUACUACUAUUACUCCACUCAUCGACCGCUAUCUAGCAUGCAUCUAGAGUAUUAAGUUAAAAACAGAGUAACGCCUUAAGCAAGAUGACAUGAUGUAGAGAGAUAAAUUCAUGCAAUAUGAAAUAAACCCCAUCUUGUUAUCCUCGAUGGCAACGAUACAAUACGUGCCUUGCUGCCCCUUCUGUCACUGGGUAAGGUCACCGCAAGAUCGAACCCAAAGCUAAGCACUUCUCCCAUGGCAAGAACUACCAAUCUAGUUGGCCAAACCAAACGAAUAAUUCGAAGAGACUUGCAAAGAUAACCACUCAUACAUAAAAGAAUUCAGAGAAGAUUCAAAUAUUAUUCAUAGAUAGACUUGAUCAUAAACCCACAAUUCAUCGGUCUCAACAAACACACCGCAAAAAGAAGAUUACAUCGAAUAGAUCUCCACAAGAGAGGGGGGGACUUUGUAUUGAGAUUCAAAGAGAUAGAAGAAGCCAUCUAGCUACUCACACUUCAUCGGAAAGGCUAUGAUGAUGUAGAAGCCCUCCGUGAUGACGACCCUCUUCCGGCGGAGCUCCGGAACAGGCCCUAAGAUGGGAUCUCGUGGAUACAGAAAGUUGCGGCGGUGGAAUUAGGUUUUUAGCUCCUCUUCUGAUCAUUUGGGGGUACGUAGGUAUAUAUAGGAGGAAGGAGUACGCCGGAGGAGCACCGAGGGGCCCACGAGGUAGGGGCGCGCCCUAGGGGGGCGCCCCCCACCCUCGUGACCGCCUCUUUUGUUCCUUGGAGCAGGGUCCAUGUCUCCUGGAUCACGUUCGGUGAGAAAAUCACGUUCCCGAAGGUUCUAUUCCGUUUGGACUCCGUUUCUUCGAAACACUGAAAUAGGCAAAAAACAGCAAUUCUAGGCUGGGCCUCCGGUUAAUAGGUUAGUCCCAAAAAUAAUAUAAAAGUGGAAAAUAAAGCCCAAUAUAGUCCAAAACAGUAGAUAAUAUAGCAUGGAGCAAUCAAAAAUUAUAGAUACGUCGGAGACGUAUCAGGCAUCCCCAAGCUUAAUUCCUGCUCGUCCUCGAGUAGGUAAAUGAUAAAAAGAGAAUUUUUGAUGCGGAGUGCUACUUGGCAUAAUUUCAAUGCAAACCUUCUUAAUUGUGAUACGAAUAUUCAGAUUCGAAAGAUUCAAGACAAAAGUUUAUAUUGACAUAAAAAUAAUAGUACUUCAAGCAUACUAACAAAGCAAUUAUGUCUUCUCAAAAUAACAUGGCCAAGGAAAGUUAUCCCUACAAAAUAAUAUAGUCUGGCUAUGCUCUAUCUUCACCACACAAAGUAUUUAAAUCAUGCACAACCCCGAUGACAAGCCAAGCAAUUGUUUCAUAUUCUAACUUUUUCAAAACUUUUUCAAUCUUCACGCAAUACAUGAGCAUGAGCCAUGGAUAUAGCACUAUAGGUGGAAUAGAAUGGUGGUUGUGGAGAAGACAAAAAGGAGGGGAAGAUAGUCUCACAUCAACUAGGCGUAUCAACGGGCUAUGGAGAUGCCCAUCAAUAGAUAUCAAUGUGAGUGAGUAGGGAUUGCCAUGCAACGGAUGCACUAGAGCUAUAAGUAUAUGAAAGCUCAAAAAGAAACUAAGUGGGUGUGCAUCCAACUUGCUUGCUCAUGAAGACCUAGGGCAAUUUGAGGAAGCCCAUCAUUCGAAUAUACAAGCCAAGUUCUAUAAUGUAAAAUUCCCACUAGUAUAUGAAAGUGAUAAUAUGAGAGACUCUCUACUAUGAACAUCAUGGUGCUACUUUGAAGCACAAUUGUGGUAAGAGGAUAGUAACAUUGUCCCUUCUCUCUUUUUCUAUCAUUUUUUUAUAUUUUUUAUUUGGGCCUUUUCUCUUUUUUAUGGCCUCUUUUUAUUUGGGCUUCUUUGGCCUCUUUUAUUUAUUUUUCAUCCGGAGUCUCAUCCCGACUUAUGGGGGAAUCAUAGUCUCCGUCAUUCUUUCCUCACUUGGGACAAUGCUCUAAUAAUGAUGAUCAUCACACUUUUAUUUUUCUUAUAACUCAACAAUUACAACUCGAUACUUAGAACAAAAUAUGACUCUAUGUGAAUGCAUCCGGCGGUGUACCGGGAUAUGCAAUAUGACAAUGAUGAAUGUGUCAUGAUGAACUAGAUGGUGGAAAGUUGCAUGGCAAUAUAUCUCGGAAUGGCUAUGGAAAUGCCAUAAUAGGUAGGUAUGGUGGCUGUUUUAAGAAAGGUAUAUGGUAGGCGUAUGAUACCGGCGAAAGGUGCGCGGUAUUAGAGAGGCUAAUAAAGGUGGAAGGGUGAGAGUGCGUAUAAUCCAUGGACUCAACAUUAGUCAUAGAGAACUCAUAUACUUAUUGCAAAAAUCUAGAAGUUAUCAAAGCAAAGUAUUACGCGCAUGCUCCUUGGGGGAUAGAUUGGUAGGAAAAGACCAUUGCUCGUCCCCGACCGUCACUCAUAAGAAAGACAAUCAAUAAAUAAAUCAUGCUCCGACUUCAUCACAUAAUGGUUCACCAUACGUGCAUGCUACGGGAAUCACAAACUUUAACACAAGUAUUCUUUAAAUUCACAACUACUCAACUAGCAUGACUUUAAUAUUAUCACCUCCAUCUAUCAAAACAAUUAUCAAGCUUCAAUCUUUUCUUAGUAUUCAACACACUCAAAAGAAAGUUUCACAAAUCUUGAAUACCAAGCAUAUUAUUAUUAAGCAAAUUACCAUGCUAUUAAGAGACUCUAAAAAUAAUUUAAGUGAAGCAUGAGAGAUCAAUAGUUUCUUUAAAACAAAUCCAUCACCGUGCUCUAAAAGAUCUAAGUGAAGCACAUAGAGCAAAAUUAUAACGCUCAAAAGAUAUAAGUGAAGCACAUAGAGCAAAACUACUUAGCUCAAAAUAUAUAAGUGAAGCACAUAGAGUAUUCUAUCAAAUUUUAAUUCAUGUAUGGCUCUCUCAAAAGGUGUGUACAGCAAGGAUGAUUGUGGCAUACUAAGACACAAAGACACAAAUAAUACAAGACGCUCCAAGCAAAACACAUAUCAUGUUGGUGAAUAAAAAUAUAGCUCCAAGUAAAUUACCGAUGGAAGUGGAUGAAAGAGGGGAUGCCUCCCGGGGCAUCCCUAAGCUUUGACUUCUUGGUGUCCUUGGAUUUUCUUGGGGGUGCCAUGGGCAUCCCCAAGCUUAGGCUCUUGCCACUCCUUGUUCCAUAAUCCAUCAAAAGAAUUCACCCAAAACUUGAAAACUUCACAACACAAAACUCAAAAUAGAAAACUCGUGAGCUCCGUUAGAGAAAGAAAACAAAAGACCACUUCAAGGUACUGUAAUGAACUCAUUCUUUAUUUAUAUUAGUGUUAAAACUACUGUAUUCCAACUUCUCUAUGGAUUAUAAACUAUUCUACUAGCCAUAGAUUCAUCAAAAUAAGCAAACAACACACGAAAAACAGAAUCUGUCAAAAAACAGAACAGUCUGUAGUAAUCUGUAGCUAGAUCAAGAUCUGGAACCCCAAAAAUUCUAAAAUAAAUUUAUGUACGUGAGUAAUUUAUCUAUUAAUCAUAUUCAAAAAGAAUUAAAUAAAUAUCACUCUUCAAAUAAAAAUGACAGCAGUUCUCGUGAGCGCUAAAGUUUCUGUUUUUAUAGCAAGUUCAACAAGACUUUCCCCAAGUCUUCCCAACGGUUCUACUUGGCACAAACACUAAUUAAACACAAAAAACACAACCAAAACAGAGGCUAAAUAAUUUAUUUAUUACUAAGCAGGAGCAAAAAGCAAGGAAUAAAAAUAAAAUUGGGUUGCCUCCCAACAAGCGCUAUCGUUUAACGCCCCUGGCUAGGCAUAAAAGCGAGGAUAGAUCUAAGUAUUGCCAUAGUAAUAAGAUAGAUCGGUGAAGCUCAUUUCAUAUUCUCUACGUUCAGCAGCAAGUUUUCUUUGAGGCAAGCAAAAGUAAUCAAAAGGGCUAAAUUUAAUAGGACAGAAGUCUCCAAGAUCAAUUUUAGGAGGUAUAGGUUCCUCUUUCGGCCCUUCGUAUUGUACAACCAAUUCAUCAUUAUAAGCAUUCUUUUGACAGAACUUUGUGAGCCUAGACUCAAGAGAGUAUUCUAGCUCAUUAUUUCGAAUAGCCAAAUCAUCAUUAAGUUCAGAGAUUCUAUCAAUUAAAAUAUUGGUUGGCACCUUUUUUCUGAGGUUUUCAUUAAAAGCAACAUAGUCAGGAGAUUGAAAGCACAUAAUUUCUUCUUGAUCGAAGAGAAUAGAUUCUAUGGGAGGACGACCAGCGUCCACCCUAUAGUGCGCAAAGAUUUCUUUGGCUUCUUUUAUUAUAAAUCUGAAUUCAUGAGCCAAAAAGAUAGUAGCGGCACGCUUAACAGAGGAAUGCUCAAUAUUAGAAAAUUCUAGAAAAACUCUUUGUAUAGAUGGGUGCAUAUGAAUAAAUUGCCUUUCAAGUUCAACGAUAAGCAUGGCAAUAGCGUCCGCAAGACUACUAGUUAUAUGGAGAAUAGAACCGCCCAUAGAGGGCAAAGCACCGGCACAAGUAAAGAAAUCUUGAAUAACUCCUUUUCCAAUAAUAUUACCACUACCGAUUCGAAAUCUUUUUGAAUGGUAGGUAGGGGGUUCUUCAGCAGGAGCAUCAGAAUUUUCCAUGAUAUUGUUAUCACCCAUAUUGGCGAUAACUUCCCCAAUUUCAAACAUAACGACAAGCAAGCAAACUAGCACACAAGCAAACAAGAGGCAAGCGGAAAGGAGAGGGAGGAUAGAGAGAGAGAGAGGGCGAAUAAAACGGCAAGGGUGAAGUGGGGGAGAGGAAAAUGAGAGGCAAAUGGCAAAUAAUGUAAUGCGAGAGAUAGGGAUUGUGAUGGGUACUUGGUAUGUUGAAUUUUUGCGUAGACUCCCCGGCAACGGCGACAGAAAUCCUUCUUGCUACGUCUUGAGCUUGCGUUGGUUUUCUCCGAAGAGGAAGGGAUGAUGCAGCAGAGUAGCGUAAGUAUUUCCCUUAGUUUUUGAGAACCAAGGUAUCAAUCCAGUAGGAGGCCACGCUCAAGUCCCUCAUACCUGCACAAAACGAUACCUACUCGCAACCAACGCGAUUAGGGGUUGUCAAUCCCUUCACGGUCACUUACGAGAGUGAGAUCUGAUAGAUAUAAUAUUUUUGGUAUUUUUGGUAUAAAGAUGCAAAGUAAAAAAUAAAAGCAAAGUAAAAAAGCAAAGCAAGAUUAAAGUGAUGGAGAUUGAUAUGAUGAGAAUAGACCCGGGGUCCAUAGGUUUCACUAGUGGAUACUCUCAAGAGCAUAAGUAUUCUACGAUGGGUGAACAAAUUACUGUUGAGCAAUUGACAGAAUUGAGCAUAGUUAUGAGAAUAUCUAGGCAUGAUCAUGUAUAUAGGCAUCACGUCCGUGACAAGUAGACCGAAACGAUUCUGCAUCUACUACUAUUACUCCACUCAUCGACCGCUAUCCAGCAUGCAUCUAGAGUAUUAAGUUAAAAAUAGAGUAAUGCCUUAAGCAAGAUGACAUGAUGUAGAGAGAUAAAUUCAUGCAAUAUGAAAUAAACCACAUCUUGUUAUCCUCGAUGGCAACGAUGCAAUACGUGCCUUGCUGCCCCUUAUGUCACUGGGAAAGGACACCACAAGAUCGAACCCAAAGCUAAGCACUUCUCCCAUGGCAAGAACUACCAAUCUAGUUGGCUAAACCAAACGGAUAAUUCGAAGAGACUUGCAAAGAUAACCAAUCAUACAUAAAAGAAUUCAGAGAAGAUUCAAAUAUUAUUCAUAGAUAAACUUGAUCAUAAACCCACAAUUCAUCGGUCUCAACAAACACAUCGCAAAAAGAAGAUUACAUCGAAUAGAUCUCCACAAGAGAGGGGGAGAACUUUGUAUUGAGAUUCAAAGAGAGAGAAGAAGCCAUCUAGCUACUAACUAUGGACCCGAAGGUCUGAGGUAAACUACUCACACUUCAUCGGAGAGGCUAUGAUGAUGUAGAAGCCCUCCGUGAUGACGGCCCUCUUCCGGCGGAGCUCCGGAACAGGCCCUAAGAUGGGAUCUCGUGGAUACAGAAAGUUGCGGUGGUGGAAUUAGGUUUUUGGCUCCUCUUCUGAUCGUUUGCCGGUACGUAGGUAUAUAUAGGAGGAAGGAGUACGCCGGAGGAGCACCGAGGGGCCAAUGAGGCAGGGGGCGCGCCCUAGGGGGGGCGCCCCCACCCUUGUGACCGCCUCUUUUGUUCCUUGGAGUAGGGUCCAAGUCUCCUGGAUCACGUUCGGUGAGAAAAUCACGUUCUCUAAGGUUUUAUUCCGUUUGGACUCCGUUUGAUAUUCUGUUUCUUCGAAAUACUGAAAUAGGCAAAAAACAGCAAUUCUGGGCUGGGCCUCCGGUUAAUAGGUUAGUCCCAAAAAUAAUAUAAAAGUGGAAAAUAAAGCCCAAUAUAGUCCAAAACAGUAGAUAAUAUAGCAUGGAGCAAUCAAAAAUUAUAGAUACGUUGGGGACGUAUCAGGAAGCUUGUUAAGAAAAAUGCAUUCAUAGUUCCUAAGACAACCAGAACUGAUGAAAAGAAAAUGUAAGCUUAUAAAACUAUAGAAAUUGGGAAGCGUAUAAAAAUAUGAAAAAAAUUAGUUAAAAGAAUGCUAUUUCUAACAAAAACAUGAAGGAUGAACUACAUAGGUAUGCUGCAAUCGCCUAACACAUAUAUUGUCAAUAAAAAGUCUAGUGUAGAAAAUUAACUUAUGACCAACAUGUAUUAAUUGAUGGUGUGGCAAUGCUGUGUGCAUAGAUUAGUGCAAAAAAAACUUAUAACUUACAUGCAUGACUUGCUUAUCUGGCAUGGUGGCAUGGCUAAGAAAAAUAGACAAUAGUUUGUAGCUAUUUAGGAAUAGAGGGUGUGUUCAAUUUUUUAUUGUGUGCAUAUGCGCAUCUGCCCAUGUUUGCACACAUAUAAACACAUCGCAGUAUACUUGGCACACUUCAAAUUAAGAAGCUAGGCAACAUUUGCACACAUUGCACACAUAUCACUAUACAUCACACAUUCAAAGAUACCACCACAAGAAAGUAAAAGGGGAGCUCACCACGGGUCUGGGCGAGGGGGCUUUGGCGAGGACUACCGUCUGGGUGAGCCAAGAAGAGGAUGGCAAGCUCAGAGGUGGGGGCAAAUGGGUAAGCGUCAGUGGGGAAGCUCGACAGUCGGUGAUGGAGUAGUUGUGUGCCUCGGGUUUGCAUCACAAGGGAGAAAAUGGAGAGAGAGAGAGAGCAUGGCGGAGGGGCAAUCUACGCAAUCCUUGAAGGAAAUAUGCCCUAGAGGCAAUAAUAAAGUUGUUAUUUAUAUUUCCUUAUAUCAUGAUAAAUGUUUAUUAUUCAUGCUAGAAUUGUAUUAACCGGAAACUUAGUACAUGUGUGAAUACAUAGACAAAAUAGAGUGUCCCUAGUAAGCCUCUACUUGACUAGCGUGUUAAUCAAAGAUGGUCAAGUUUCCUGACCAUAGACAUGUGUUGUCAUUUGAUGAACGAGAUCACAACAUUAGAGAAUGAUGUGAUGGACAAGACCCAUCCGUUAGUUUAGCAUAAUGAUCGUUAAGUUUUAUUGCUAUUGCUUUCUUCAUGACUUAUACAUAUUGCUCUGACUAUGAGAUUAUGCAACUCCCGAAUACCGGAGGAACACCUUGUGUGCUAUCAAACGUCACAACAUAACUGGGUGAUUAUAAAGAUGCUCUAUAGGUGUCUCUGAAGGUGUUUGUUGGGUUGGCAUAGAUCGAGAUUAUGAUUUGUCACUCCGAGUAUCGGAGAGGUAUCUCUGGGUCCUCUCGGUAAUGCACAUCACUAUAAGCCUUCCAAGCGAUGUGACUAAUGAGUUAGUUACGAAAUGAUGCAUUAUGGAAUGAGUAAAAAGACUUGCCAGUAAUGAUAUUGAACUAGGUAUGAUGAUACCGACGAUCGAAUCUCGAGCAAGUAACAUACCGAUGACAAGGGAAAUAACGUAUGUUGUUAUUGCGGUUUAACCGAUAAAGAUCUUCGUAGAAUAUGUAGGAACCAAUAUGAGCAUCCAAGUUCCACUAUUGGUUAUUGACCGGAAAUGUGUCUCGGUCAUGUCUACAUAGUUCUCGAACCCGUAGGGUCCGCACACUUAAUGUUCGAUGACAAUUUGUAUUAUGAGUUAUGUAUUUUGGUGACCGAAGUUUGUUUGGAGUCCCGGAUGAGAUCACGGAUGUGACGAUCUCGAAAUGGUCGAGAGGUAAAGAUUGAUAUAUUGGAACGUAGUAUUCGGACACCGGAAGGGUUCCAGAGUGUAACGGGUACAUACCGGAGUACCGGAGGGGUUACGGGAAACCCCCGAGGAAAGAUAUGGGCCAUAUGGGCCAUAGGAGGGAGGCUAACCAGCCCACAAGGGGCUGGUGCGCCCCCCACAAGGGAGGAGGCCGAAUUGGUUUAGGGAAGGGGGCGCCACCCCCCUCCCCCCUUUCCUUCUCCUACUCCCUCUCCUUCCCCCUUUCCACCUCCAUGAGAAGGAAAAGAGGCGGGGGGGGGGGGCGAAUCCUACUGGGACUAGGAGUCCUAGUAGGCCUCCCCCCCUUAUGGUGCGCCCCUAGGGCCGGCCUCCUCCCUCUCCCUCCUUUAUAUACGUGGGUAGGGCACCCCUUGGAGACACACCAAUUGUUCCAAGCCGUGUGCGGCGUCUCUCUCCACGGUUUACUCUUCCAGUCAUAUUCACGAGUGCUUAAGCGAAGCCCUNNNNNNNNNNNNNNNNNNNNNNNNNNNNNNNNNNNNNNNNNNNNNNNNNNNNNNNNNNNNNNNNNNNNNNNNNNNNNNNNNNNNNNNNNNNNNNNNNNNNNNNNNNNNNNNNNNNNNNNNNNNNNNNNNNNNNNNNNNNNNNNNNNNNNNNNNNNNNNNNNNNNNNNNNNNNNNNNNNNNNNNNNNNNNNNNNNNNNNNNNNNNNNNNNNNNNNNNNNNNNNNNNNNNNNNNNNNNNNNNNNNNNNNNNNNNNNNNNNNNNNNNNNNNNNNNNNNNNNNNNNNNNNNNNNNNNNNNNNNNNNNNNNNNNNNNNNNNNNNNNNNNNNNNNNAACCAGCCCACAAGGGGCUGGUGCGCCCCCCACAAGGGAGGAGGCCGAAUUGGUUUAGGGAAGGGGGCGCCACCCCCCUCCCCCCUUUCCUUCUCCUACUCCCUCUCCUUCCCCCUUUCCACCUCCAUGAGAAGGAAAAGAGGCGGGGGGGGGGGGCGAAUCCUACUGGGACUAGGAGUCCUAGUAGGACUCCCCCCCUUAUGGUGCGCCCCUAGGGCCGGCCUCCUCCCUCUCCCUCCUUUAUAUACGUGGGUAGGGCACCCCUUGGAGACACACCAAUUGUUCCAAGCCGUGUGCGGCGUCUCUCUCCACGGUUUACUCUUCCAGUCAUAUUCACGAGUGCUUAAGCGAAGCCCUGCGCGGAUCACAUCGCCAUCACCGCCACCAUGCCGUCGUGCUGACGGAACUCUCCCUUGACCCUCUGCUAGAUCAAGAGUUCGAGUGACGUCAUCGAGCUGAACGUUUGCUGAACUCGGAGGUGUCGUACGUUCGGUACUAGAUCGGUUGGAUCGUGAAGACGUUCGACUACAUCAACCGCGUUAACCUAACGCUUUCGCUUUCGGUCUACGAGAGUACGUGGACACACUCUCCCCCUCUCGUUGAUAUGCAUCUCCUAGAUAGAUCUUGUGUGAUUGUAGGAUUUUUUUUUUGAAAUUGCAUGCUACGUUCCCCAACAAUCCUACCUAGCCUACCUAACUAAAUACCCCUGAAUUUCACUAUCUUGAUGUAGAUCCCCAAUGAGGCAUUACAGGCGUGGCCACCACUGCAAUGGGUGGGUGGCGGUGUUUGUGGUCCUCUCACUGACAUUCUUCCACAAAGUCGCGACAAUGUUGCUCUGUCAUGAUACCAAUCUUGAUCUACUUAUCAUCACGAGCAACACCUAUGUAGCGAAGGUGAAGAUUUCAACCACAGGGCGGCAUCACCCUAUAGGUUGACACUCUAGAAGAAGGCCGCAAUAGAGAAACACCAUACGGGGGCAGAGCAGAGAAGCAAAGGAUGGAGAGGUGGUGGUGGCACCGUCCGUGCCCCAAACAUAGUCGUGUUCGCCUCCCUUUGUCGCCUUCGGGAAAAGCAAGUACACCCUUAUGUUUUUCCCAUUAAGUUUUUUCUCAUCUUAGUUAUGAAGGAGACAAUACUAAUUGCAUGUUGUAUACCAUCUUCUCAAUUUUUCCAAGAGUUUAGAAGGAAUUGCAACAGCAUAUCAAGUGUUACUGUCCUUUGACUGUUUACGGUGGUGUGUACGAGUUUGGAGCAUCUUGCUAGUGAUGUUUUUAUCGACAUGGGUGGCGACAUAAUGUAUACAGUCCCUCCAUCCAAAUAUAUAUGGUCUAAUACAUGUUUCGAGGUUACCUUUGACCAUUGAUAAAAUUGUUAAUAUAAGAGAUGUACGAUAUAAAUUAGGAACUCAUUUCAUAUACGAAUUUGACGGUAUGCUCCGUGUAACAUGCAUGCCAUAUAUUAUUGAUCUAACAUGUGGUGAAACUUAACCUUGAAAACAUAUUAUGCUCUAUAUUUUUCUAUUGGAGGGAGUAUAGGCUUUCCACUCCAUACAUCUAGGCAUAGUCACGGUCUUGUUUGACUUUGCUUUUACCGGCGUAGUACUUUGUGCGAGUUUGCAUUGGUUGUACUAUAUGACUUUACUCAUUAGCUUGUAUCACCUUGAUGCCAUAUUAUGUGUCAAUAAAAACCGUUAUAUAUCAAAAAAAACUCUCCUCACAUCUUCCGACAUCACUUUUGGGGGAUUCUUAGAAUUAUAAGGCUGGCUGUAAUGAGGAGUAUCAUAUAGUAGUAUCAUGCAUAUGAUACUAGUGUAUGUUACUAUCUCGUAAUGCAUAGUAUCAUAUAUUAGUAUCAUGUAGCACUUUAUUUAUUGUCAUGCAUGACACAAAGUAGCAUAGCAUUUAUUAUGAUACAGUAUCAUGAUAUGAUACUCCAUCCUCUUUUUCUUCAUUUAGUGCUAUGACACCUCAUCAGUGGCGGAGCCAGAAACUUAAUAUAGAGGGGGCCAAACAGAGUGCUAUAAUGUUAGACGGGGCCAAAUCAACUAAAUCUUGCUAAUUAUGUUUGACAAAUGGAGGAUUAGGAGCAUAUAUAGUUGUAUUUGAGAGAGCAUAGGGGGGGCCUUGGCCCCUGCCAGCACCCCCCUGCCUCCGCCACUGCACCUCAUCAAAAUUGCCUAGUUGGCAUGCAUGAUACUAGCUAUGAUACUGCCAUUACGAUCAGCCGGAGAGAUUAUUAUUAAUCAGAUUGCUUAUUGCUACUCAAUAAAGAGAAGUUAGAUGCAUUUAUUUGUCUAUCUCUCUCGUUCUUUACUUCAACACAACCAAAGGAAAUGGAUGUGGACGGAAGUACUACACCGAGCGAAGCAGCAGGCAGCCAUCAUUGACGAACUACCCCGCUGACCCUCUACCCACUGGGUUUCAAUGCAGAACGUCCAUAGAUGCAGCCAUGCAUGCAUCAACCUUUUGCUGACCGUAGUCAAGUCGAAGUAGUAGUGCAAAUGCAAUUCAGUCACAGGGUGUUCAACUGAUAAUUGCACAGGACGAGAGCGAUUGAUAAUGCUCUUAGACUAGUCAUAGUGGGAGUAACUUAGACUAUCCACAAUGGAAGUAAUAUAGGUACUCCCUCCUUCCGUCUAUAUAGGGCCUAAUGCGUUCUUCAAGACCACCUUUGACUAUUAAUAAGAUUAAUAAUACAUGAGAUGUAUAAUGUGAAAAUUAUAUCACUGGAAGCUCCUUUCACGUACGAAUUUGACAGUAUGCUUUGUGUAACUUGCAUGUCAUAUAUUAUUGCUCUAACACUUGGUCAAAGUUAGCCUCGAAAAACGCAUUAGGCCCUAUAUAGAUGGAAGGAGGGAGUAGUAACAUCAUACAUGUUUAGAUAAAAUGGAUGAUGUAGCAAGCAAUAAAUGAAGAAAGAGAGGCGUGUGGUAACAUAGCUAGUUAGGCUGGUCACAAUGGGCAAGAACAUAGUCUAGUAACUUACACACUUCCCUAGACUAUGUUACUACCUCCACAGUGGGUAGAAACAUCUAUGUAGUGUCAUGCAACAAUGUAUUUAUUAGGUUAUAAACUCAUUGUUUUUUGGAGUGUGUGAUGUUCCGAUAACUUAGCUAGUUACCACAAGCAUCUCUCUCUUCAUUAAAUAUGUGACACAUAAGCAAAGUUGUAUUGGAGUGUGUGAUGUUACUCCUAAGUUCCUCCCCAUUGUGACCAGCCUUACUACUAGUAUGAGUAACAUCACACAUAUUAAGGCAAGAUGAGUCUAUGGCCUAAUAAAUGAAGUGUUGUAUGUUACCACACAUAUGUUACUAUCCACUAUAAAGGUAGUAACAUAGAGUAGCUAGUAACAUAGCGCAUUUCGAGAAAAUUCUGCUUAUGUGGCAAGUAAUUAACGAGAGGUGAUAACAUAAUAUGUUACUGUAACAUAGCGCUUUCCAAUACAAGAUGAGUCUACGAGCUAAUAAAUGAAGCCAUCUAUAAUACUACUAGUAUGUUACUUUCCAUUAUGAAGGUGGACUUGCAAACAUGUUUAUGUGACAGAUAAUUAAAGUAGUGAGAUGGUUAUAUAUAAAUGUGAUGCUAUUAUGUGUCAUGCAUAGUAAUAAAUGAGACCACAUAUUAUACUAAUUUAUGAUACUAUGCACUAUACUCCCUCCGUUUAGGUAUGCAAGUCACCUUAUAAAAACCAAAUAAUCCCAAAAUACUUAGGCACGGUACAUUAACUUCCUCCUCGUUUCUUGUUUUGUGACAUAUCAAUCAAUAAAAGAUGUGGACCGUGCAUGUUUUCAAUGACUUGAAACUAUCAAACAUGAUAUGCAGUGGUUAGUUCAUUAUAUGCAAUGCUAUUAAUUAGCAAAAAGGUAUUAAGUUUUCUCGUUUUUCUCCCUGCCUUGGUCACCUAGACAGAGGGAGUAGAGUAAGUUACUCCUCACUAUAACCAGCCUUAAUCACCCAUCUGCUCUAUGGCCGCGUAUUCGGACGGUGCAUGGCCAGGCCAACUAUAAAUACCCCAGGAGUUCCAGCACCCCUCUCCUCACCACCAUCUUUUUCCAUUCCCAUCACACAACGUACACCUCUGCGACCGCAAUAGCGAGAGGGAAGAGUAGAUCUGCGGCCAUGGCGAUGAGGAAGGAGGUCCUCCUGGCAGCCAUGAUGCUGCCGCUGGUGGUGGCGGAGCGCGUGCCGCGUGCGAGAUGGGGCAGCUGACGGUGUGCAUGCCGGCGAUCACCACCGGUGCCAAGCCGAGCGGCGCGUGCUGCUCCAACCUGCGCGCGCAGCAGGGGUGCUUCUGCCAGUACGCCAAGGACCCCUC